rnacentral:rRNA from 1 species
GGGAAUAUUGCACAAUGGGCGAAAGCCUGAUGCAGCAACGCCGCGUGAGUGAUGAAGGCCUUCGGGUUGUAAAGCUCUGUCUUCUGGGACGAUAAUGACGGUACCAGAGGAGGAAGCCACGGCUAACUACGUGCCAGCAGCCGCGGUAAUACGCAGGUGGCAAGCGUUGUCCGGAUUUACUGGGCGUAAAGGAUGCGUAGGCGGAUGCUUAAGUCAGAUGUGAAAUUCCCGGGCUUAACUUGGGAACUGCAUUUGAAACUGGGUAUCUAGAGUGCGGGAGAGGAAAGUGGAAUUCCUAGUGUAGCGGUGAAAUGCGUAGAGAUUAGGAAGAACACCAGUGGCGAAGGCGACUUUCUGGACCGUAACUGACGCUGAGGCAUGAAAGCGUGGGGAGCAAAC